CAACACUAUAAAUUCAGUCUGACAGUGAGUUAGUGAGAGUUAGUUACAGUGAGUCAAACCCACUCCCUCCUCCAACUAUGACGGCCUAGACAGAGACUUUAUGCAAGCUUCUUUGAAGUUGGCAGACAGUGAAGGUGAAGAGUGAAGAGUCAGACGCUGUUCUUCUGAAGUUUCACAACUUUUCUGCAUCAGGAUUAAAGUCAGAAUGAAAAUCCUCCAUUUUCUCUUCUUCUGCUUCUUGUCAGGUCCAGCUGGGCUCGUCAAGGCAAAACAUAAUAUUUGGUCUGCAGCUGAAGGACUAAAUGCUACACUUAACUGCAACUUACCUUUGUCUGGAACCACAAAGUU